AAGUCAUUGUGUCAUUGUAUAGCAACUUGACUUAGUGAUGCGUUCAGGGGGGACCCCACUUGGGAUAUACAGAGUAUUCAUUGUCUACUAAGUAAAUUACUAUUAUUUAGGUUCUGCGGCAGUGUUUCUUUGUCAGAGAAAAGCAGAUGCUUCCUGGGGAAGUGCCAGAGAAUGGCAGGAAGAGAGGCUGAGGUGGAGUGCAUUUCUACAACUCAGAUAGGAGAGGACCUUAUCCACAGCACAUCUCAGACAGGAGAGGACCUUGUCCACAGCACAUCUCAGACAGGAGAGGGCCUUGUCCACAGCACAUCUCAGACAGGAGAGGACCUUGUCCACAGCACAUCUCAGACACGAGAGGACCUUAUCCACAGUACAUCUCAGACAGGAGAGGACCUUGUCCACAGCACAUCUCAGACACGAGAGGACCUUAUCCACAGCACAUCUCAGACAGGAGAGGACCUUAUCCACAGUACAUCUCAGACAGGAGAGGACCUUGUCCACAGCACAUCUCAGACAGGAGAGGACCUUGUCCACAGCACAUCUCAGACAGGAGAGGACCUUGUCCACAGUACAUCUCAGACAGGAGAGGACCUUGUCCACAGCACAUCUCAGACAGGAGAGGACCUUAUCCACAGUACAUCUCAGACAGGAGCAGUCCAAGGGACACAGAGGGAAGGGUCCGGUGUGGGGGAACCAAAGGAAAUGGAAUUCUAAGUGCACAGGAAAAGGAGUCUCCCCCAAAAGCCACGAGAGAACAAAGGAACAAGGGAGUGAAGUCACACUUCCUUUUGUCUACUUACUGUGAAAAUUGACCACACAGUCCUUCAGGUGAGGAGGCAACUGUUUGCCGUGGUGGAUGGAAAUCUGCCACAGUACCCCUACUAAACAUAAUCCGGUCGAAGGACCAUGAAAAGGAACCCAAGAUAUUUAACUGGUUGGAUAGAUGUCACCAGGUGUACUCAGCUCCGGUCAGAGAGCAAGCAGACGACAGAGAGGACUGGUGGUUGGAUAUGGUAAAGGUGUGUGAUUCUGCAACAAAGGAGAGGCAUCAUGUCAGGUUGCAUAACAUAAAAGGUCAUGUUGAUAAGGACAAAGCUAUUAAAACAUAUCUCAAAUGAUGAAAAUGACAUUGUUAGGUAACUACAAUAAACAUGGAAAAAAGGAAACAAACUUACUCUUAACUUGAACGCCCACAACUGGAAAGAAAUGUAGGAAUUUCUUGCUAGGAUUUAAAUACAAAAGGUGUGAAUGAGCGUAUCUGGGCAGUCCGAAUAAUUAGUGACAAGUUUGUGCCAUUGAGAGAGUCAACAGGUAGUAAACAAGUUCCAUCUCAGCAGUAUGCUGCGCCACUGAGCGCUUUUGUACAAAACCAAUAACAACCUUUGGAGUAUUGAGUGUCAGUGCAAUGUGCUUCAUCUUAUCAUCCUAAAAGCUAAUUUAUGCUUGAUCUGGAAAUGUGGUCGGAGGCUGUAAUUUCGGAGCCUCCAGAGGCAUGCAGAGGCCAAAUCAAGCUCCUUACCGCAUCGCUGUGCACCUCUCAAAUUUUGCAACAAUGCGGAGGGCUCCUUAAAGCUCCACAUUGACAUGAUUGGUUGACGGUAGGUGGGGGCGGGAGGUCCUGUAUAAACACAAACUCACUUCGCAAGAAGUAUGAAAACCCUGAAGUCUGCAGAGGUUGCAUCACAGUAAAUGCUGUACGGGCACUUCAGACAUCAGAUUGACCACGCAGAGCCUUUAUUAACACUAUUGUACUUGAGGACUAUUUCUAUGGUUUUACUUAGUGGGAGUCAUGACGCCAAAAGUCGAAUUAUGAUAUUGUAGCGACCCGCACAGACAGCUGUGUGUUAUGUGCUAGGCUAGGAGGUGGUUGUGUUGUACUGACCAGUACCCGGUGUUCGCGGGGUCCGACAUGUCAAUCAACCUGCUAUCUGCCAAUCACGGGAAUGCCUGGAAUGUUCUGAUGCCGGGCAUCCUGGUGGUUGGCGGAGUGGCGUGGAGGGGGGGUUGGGCAUUGGAAGUUAAGACCAGGUUCAGCCUUUGUUCUCUCUCUCUUACAUCUGGGCUUCACAAGAGAAGGUCACGGUUGGAUUGUGGGUUAUCUAUUUGGCGUGUGCUACGGCCCAAACAGUAGCCUGUGUAAAGUUGGUUCAAUAAACCGCCAAUUCGCAAGCUCA